rnacentral:rRNA from 1 species
UACGAAGGGGGCUAGCGUUGCUCGGAAUUACUGGGCGUAAAGCGCACGUAGGCGGCUUUCUAAGUCGGGGGUGAAAUCCUGGAGCUCAACUCCAGAACUGCCUUCGAUACUGGAGAGCUUGAGUCCGGGAGAGGUGAGUGGAAUUCCGAGUGUAGAGGUGAAAUUCGUAGAUAUUCGCAAGAACACCAGUGGCGAAGGCGGCUCACUGGCCCGAUACUGACGCUGAGGCACGAAAGCGUGGGGAGCAAACAGG